rnacentral:lncRNA from 1 species
ACACAAAAGACAGAGGGUCUUCCGGUCAUCAGGCAGGUGAUAGAGUACAGGCACACCGGGAGCCAAUUUUUGUUGUUUAUGAGCAGCCUUCCCAAAGGCUCAGAUGGCUACCCACUUCAAGACAUAGAAUUGGUAUUCCACCAUCAGGAAAUACGGUCUGCUGAAAAGAGGCCCCGUCUUGGAGUCAGAACUGAGCGCAGAAGAGCAGAGUGCCUUGAAAACACUGGAGAAAAACCUAGGCUGUUUCUUGCCAGAAAACUCUCCCACAUUGCAAAGAACUGAAAUCAGACAGAAAAGUGCCAAUGACACUUCAAGCCUUAUUUG